rnacentral:rRNA from 1 species
UACGUAGGGUGCAAGCGUUGUCCGGAAUUAUUGGCGUAAAGAGCUUGUAGGCGGUUUGUCGCGUCUGCUGUGAAAUUUCGGGGCUCAACCCCGAACUUGCAGUGGGUACGGGCAGACUAGAGUGUGGUAGGGGAGACUGGAAUUCCUGGUGUAGCGGUGAAAUGCGCAGAUAUCAGGAGGAACACCGAUGGCGAAGGCAGGUCUCUGGGCCACUACUGACGCUGAGAAGCGAAAGCAUGGGGAGCGAACAGG